AGUGAACGCUGGCGGUAGGCCUAACACAUGCAAGUCGAACGGCAGCACAGUAAGAGCUUGCUCUUACGGGUGGCGAGUGGCGGACGGGUGAGGAGUACAUCGGAAUCUACUUUUUCGUGGGGGAUAACGUAGGGAAACUUACGCUAAUACCGCAUACGACCUACGGGUGAAAGCAGGGGAUCUUCGGACCUUGCGCGAUUGAAUGAGCCGAUGUCGGAUUAGCUAGUUGGCGGGGUAAAGGCCCACCAAGGCGACGAUCCGUAGCUGGUGUGAGAGGAUGAUCAGCCACACUGGAACUGAGACACGGUCCAUACUCCUACGGGAGGCAGCAGUGGGGAAUAUUGGACAAUGGGCGCAAUCCUGAUCCAGCCAUACCGCGUGGGUGAAGAAGGCCUUCGGGUUGUAAAGCCCUUUUGUUGGGAAAGAAAAGCAGCAGGUUAAUACCCCGCUGUUCUGACGGUACCCAAAGAAUAAGCACCGGCUAACUUCGUG
rnacentral:rRNA from 1 species